AGUGAACGCUGGCGGUAGGCCUAACACAUGCAAGUCGAACGGCAGCACAGUAAGAGCUUGCUCUUACGGGUGGCGAGUGGCGGACGGGUGAGGAAUACAUCGGAAUCUACUUUUUCGUGGGGGAUAACGUAGGGAAACUUACGCUAAUACCGCAUACGACCUACGGGUGAAAGCAGGGGAUCUUCGGACCUUGCGCGAUUGAAUGAGCCGAUGUCGGAUUAGCUAGUUGGCGGGGUAAAGGCCCACCAAGGCGACGAUCCGUAGCUGGUCUGAGAGGAUGAUCAGCCAAACGGGAAAUGAGACCGGGUCCCGACUCCGACGGGAGGCAGGAGUGGGGAAUUUGGAAAAAUGGGCGGAAGCCUGAACCAGCCAACCCGGGUGGGGGAAGAAGGCCUUCGGGUUGUAAAGCCCUUUUGUUGGGAAAAAAAAGCAGCCGGUUACACCCCCGUUUUUCUGACGGUACCCAAAGAAAAAGCCCCGGCUAACUUCUU
rnacentral:rRNA from 1 species